GUGGGGAAUAUUGCACAAUGGGCGAAAGCCUGAUGCAGCAACGCCGCGUGAGGGACGACGGCCUUCGGGUUGUAAACCUCUUUUAGUAGGGAAGAAGCGAAAGUGACGGUACCUGCAGAAAAAGCACCGGCUAACUACGUGCCAGCAGCCGCGGUAAUACGUAGGGUGCAAACGUUAUCCGGAAUUAUUGGGCGUAAAGAGCUCGUAGGCGGUCUGUCGCGUCUGCUGUGAAAACUGGAGGCUCAACCUCCAGCCUGCAGUGGGUACGGGCAGACUAGAGUGCGGUAGGGGAGAUUGGAAUUCCUGGUGUAGCGGUGGAAUGCGCAGAUAUCAGGAGGAACACCGAUGGCGAAGGCAGAUCUCUGGGCCGUAACUGACGCUGAGGAGCGAAAGCGUGGGGAGCGAACAGGAUUAGAAACCCUUGUAGUCC
rnacentral:rRNA from 1 species